rnacentral:lncRNA from 1 species
CUGAAACACAGUAAAAUGACUUAUGUCAAAGAUAAGAAACUGGAGACUAGAGGAUCCCUGCAGAGAAUUUGAAGUUCAGCUUGCCCGUGGCCAAGUAACUAGCAGAAGGAGGAGGCUGGUGUUCAAAGGCAGCCACAAAGGGCUUAUGGGCCCACACUCAAGCCCCCCACCACUCGUCUGCCCUGUACACGUGAUCAUAUGGCCACCACCUACGUAUUUACAUACCACCUACAUAAUGUGGACAACCCGUCUCAGAUUCAAAUGGACUCUGUAGCUGCAACAUUCCUGCCUUCUCCUCACUGGAGUAUUAACAGGCUCUGGUAGAAGUGGAAUGAUGAGAAUCAGAGGACAGACAUCUCUCUGGGAGCUGCUUUUCCCUAAGACCAGGGAUACAAUUUCUGAACACAUUCUUAAUUUUAUCCCAUGUAUCUAGACAUUAAUCCUAGUCUGAUAAAUUCCUGGAGUGCCC